rnacentral:lncRNA from 1 species
AGAGAGAGAGACAGAGAGAGACAGAGAGAGAGAGACAGAGAGAGACAGAGAGAGAGAGAGAGAGAGACAGACAGAGAGACAGAGAGACAGAGAGAGAGAGUGAGAGAGAGAGAGAGAGAGAGAAUGAGAGAGAGAGAGAGUGAGAGAGAGAAUGAGAGAAUAUCUAAAAAAAAAAAAUAAUAUUGAAGAUUUUAGGUCACCUGGCAACGUUUAUUUAGUAUUUUUGUGAUUUACAGUAGAAAAUAUAACACCACAAGGCACCACUUCCUCCUCAGCAUGAGCACAUAAACAGCUUGUCAAAUACCAUCUCAAGACCAUCUUACAUUUCAUACCAUCUCAAGACAAUACAAGCCCCUCCAAAAGUUACAUUUGAUACCAUCUCAAGACAAUACAAGCCCCUCCAAAAGUUACAUUUGAUACCAUCUCAAGACAAUACAAGCCCUCUAAAAAUUACAUUUGAUACCAUUUCAAGACAAUACAAGCCCCUCCAAAAGUUACAUUUGAUACCAUCUCAAGACAAUACAAGCCCCUCCAAAAGUUACAUUUGAUACCAUCUCAAGACAAUACAAGCCCAUCUAAAAGUUACAUUUGAUACCAUCUCAAGACAAUAGAAACCCCUCUAAAAGUUACAUUUAAUACCAUCUCAAGUCAAUACAAGCCCAUCUAAAAGUUACAUUUGAUACCAUCUCAAGACAAUACAAGCCCUCUAAAAGUUACAUUUAAUACCAUCUCAAGACAAUACAAGCCCUCUAAAAGUUACAUUUAAUACCAUCUCAAGUCAAUACAAGCCCAUCUAAAAAUUACAUUUAAUACCAUCGUAGGACAAUAGAAGCCCCUCUAAAAGUUAAAUUGAAUUACACAAAUACAGUAUACAGAAUAUGCGUAAUAGAUUACAGUACAUAUGUCGUUUAAAAUAAAAAAAUCUGCUUUUAAACAGUCUUGAAUAUUUUAACACUUUCCUGUUAACAAUUAAACCUUAUGUGCUUUGUAGAGAAAUUCAGAUAAUUGUCUGUUAGCCGUUUUCUGUUUCAAAAUAGCCUGUUAAGUGACAUGUGAUGGAGGGCUAUGGCCAUGUUACCCAACACAUUUUGAUGUUUGGUAUUUUAUUAUGGAUCCCCAUUAGUUACUGCUAAAGCAGCAGCUCCUCUUCCUGGGGUCCACACAGAACAUGAAACAUGACAUAAUACAGGACAUUAAUAGACAAGAACAGCUCAAGGACAAAACUACAUACAUUUUUUAAAAAGGCACACGUAGCCUACAAAUCAAUACAUACACACAAAUGAUCUAGGUCAAAUAGAGGUGCCAAUAAAUAAGACAUCUUCA